rnacentral:rRNA from 1 species
GAUGAACGCUGGCGGCGUGCCUAAUACAUGCAAGUCGAGCGAACAGAUGAGGAGCUUGCUCCUCUGACGUUAGCGGCGGACGGGUGAGUAACACGUGGAUAACCUACCUAUAAGACUGGGAUAACUUCGGGAAACCGGAGCUAAUACCGGAUAAUAUAUUGAACCGCAUGGUUCAAUAGUGAAAGACGGUUUUGCUGUCACUUAUAGAUGGAUCCGCGCCGCAUUAGCUAGUUGGUAAGGUAACGGCUUACCAAGGCAACGAUGCGUAGCCGACCUGAGAGGGUGAUCGGCCACACUGGAACUGAGACACGGUCCAGACUCCUACGGGAGGCAGCAGUAGGGAAUCUUCCGCAAAGGGCGAAAGCCUGACGGAGCAACGCCGCGUGAGUGAUGAAGGUCUUCGGAUCGUAAAACUCUGUUAUUAGGGUAGAACAAAUGUGUAAGUAACUAUGCACGUCUUGACGGUACCUAAUCAGAAAGCCACGGCUAACUACGUG